UACGGAGGAUGCAAGCGUUAUCCGGAAUUAUUGGGCGUAAAGCGUCCGCAGGUGGUUGUGCAAGUCUGCCGUCAAAGCCAGUGGCUUAACUACUGAAAGGCGGUGGAAACUGCACGACUAGAGUGUGGUAGGGGCAGAGGGGAUUCCCGGUGUAGCGGUGAAAUGCGUAGAGAUCGGGAAGAACACCAGUGGCGAAAGCGCUCUGCUGGACCGCAACUGACACUCAUGGACGAAAGCUAGGGGAGCGAAUGGG
rnacentral:rRNA from 1 species